rnacentral:rRNA from 1 species
GAUGAACGCUGGCGGCGUGCCUAAUACAUGCAAGUCGAGCGAACGGACGAGAAGCUUGCUUCUCUGAUGUUAGCGGCGGACGGGUGAGUAACACGUGGAUAACCUACCUAUAAGACUGGGAUAACUUCGGGAAACCGGAGCUAAUACCGGAUGAUAUUUUGAACCGCAUGGUUCAAAAGUGAAAGACGGUCUUGCUGUCACUUAUAGAUGGAUCCGCGCUGCAUUAGCUAGUUGGUAAGGUAACGGCUUACCAAGGCAACGUUGCAUAGCCGACCUGAGAGGGUGAUCGGCCACACUGGAACUGAGACACGGUCCAGACUCCUACGGGAGGCAGCAGUAGGGAAUCUUCCGCAAUGGGCGAAAGCCUGACGGAGCAACGCCGCGUGAGUGAUGAAGGUCUUCGGAUCGUAAAACUCUGUUAUUAGGGAAGAACAUAUGUGUAAGUAACUGUGCAUAUCUUGACGGUACCUAAUCAGAAAGCCACGGCUAACUACGUG